rnacentral:rRNA from 1 species
UACGUAGGGUGCGAGCGUUAAUCGGAAUUACUGGGCGUAAAGCGUGCGCCGGCGGUUUCGUAAGACAGGCGUGAAAUCCCCGGGCUUAACCUGGGAACUGCGCUUGUGACUGCGAGGCUAGAGUGUGUCAGAGGGAGGUGGAAUUCCACGUGUAGCAGUGAAAUGCGUAGAGAUGUGGAGGAACACCGAUGGCGAAGGCAGCCUCCUGGGAUAACACUGACGCUCAUGCACGAAAGCGUGGGAGCAAACAGG